UACGUAGGGACCGAGCGUUGUCCGGAAUCAUUGGGCGUAAAGAGCGUGUAGGCGGCCUGUUAAGUCUUGCGUGAAAUCUCGGGGCUCAACCCCGAGCGGUCGUGAGAAACUGGCAGGCUAGAGUGCGGGAGAGGAGAGUGGAAUUCCUGGUGUAGCGGUGAAAUGCGCAGAUAUCAGGAAGAACACCUAUGGCGAAGGCAGCUCUCUGGGACGGUACUGACGCUGAGACGCGAAAGCGUGGGGAGCGAACAGG
rnacentral:rRNA from 1 species